rnacentral:rRNA from 1 species
AGUGGCGAACGGGUGAGUAAUGCGUGACCGACCUGCCCCAUACACCGGAAUAGCUCCUGGAAACGGGUGGUAAUACCGGAUGCUCCAGUUGACCGCAUGGUCCUCUGGGAAAGCUUUUGCGGUAUGGGAUGGGGUCGCGUCCUAUCAGCUUGAUGGCGGGGUAACGGCCCACCAUGGCUUCGACGGGUAGCCGGCCUGAGAGGGCGACCGGCCACAUUGGGACUGAGAUACGGCCCAGACUCCUACGGGAGGCAGCAGUGGGGAAUAUUGCACAAUGGGCGCAAGCCUGAUGCAGCGACGCCGCGUGCGGGAUGACGGCCUUCGGGUUGUAAACCGCUUUUGACUGGGAGCAAGCCCUUCGGGGUGAGUGUACCUUUCGAAUAAGCACCGGCUAACUACGUGCCAGCAGCCGCGGUAAUACGUAGGGUGCAAGCGUUAUCCGGAAUUAUUGGGCGUAAAGGGCUCGUAGGCGGUUCGUCGCGUCCGGUGUGAAAGUCCAUCGCUUAACGGUGGAUCCGCGCCGGGUACGGGCGGGCUUGAGUGCGGUAGGGGAGACUGGAAUUCCCGGUGUAACGGUGGAAUGUGUAGAUAUCGGGAAGAACACCAAUGGCGAAGGCAGGUCUCUGGGCCGUCACUGACGCUGAGGAGCGAAAGCGUGGGGAGCGAACAGGAUUAGAUACCCUGGUAGUCCACGCCGUAAACGGUGGAUGCUGGAUGUGGGGACCAUUCCACGGUCUCCGUGUCGGAGCCAACGCGUUAAGCAUCC